rnacentral:tmRNA from 1 species
GGGGGCGAUCCGGUUUCGACGGGAGGACAUGACGACUGAGCUGCGCGUCGGGGACGCCACUUGGCCCCGUUAACAAUGUGGCAAAACACACCAGCCGACACUGAGCUGGCUCUCGCUGCCUAAAAGCUAGCGAGCGUCCCGCCUCUCCUUGUCCGCGGGAGGGGGCCGGGGCGCCAUGAAGCGGACUGGCCGCCAUUUCCUUCUGUCCGGAGGCGGUGGCGGCGAGAUUGAAUCGGACUAGCCUGGGGGGCAACUCCGCCGGUGGGCGCGAACCCGGGCGAAAUUCAAAUUGCCGGCUACGCGCGUAGAGGUUCACGGCAGAAACCUUUCGGACGCGGGUUCGAUUCCCGCCGCCUCCACCA